UACGGAGGAUCCAAGCGUUAUCCGGAAUCAUUGGGUUUAAAGGGUCCGUAGGCGGUUUGGUAAGUCAGUGGUGAAAGCCCAUCGCUCAACGGUGGAACGGCCAUUGAUACUGCCAGACUUGAAUUACUGGGAAGUAACUAGAAUAUGUAGUGUAGCGGUGAAAUGCUUAGAGAUUACAUGGAAUACCAAUUGCGAAGGCAGGUUACUACCAGUGGAUUGACGCUGAUGGACGAAAGCGUGGGUAGCGAACAGGAUUAGAUACCCUGGUAGUCCACGCCGUAAACGAUGGAUACUAGCUGUUGGAGGUAACUUCAGUGGCUAAGCGAAAGUGAUAAGUAUCCCACCUGGGGAGUACGAACGCAAGUUUGAA
rnacentral:rRNA from 1 species